CGUUAGCGGCGGACGGGUGAGUAACACGUGGGUAACCUACCUAUAAGACUGGGAUAACUUCGGGAAACCGGAGCUAAUACCGGAUAAUAUUUCGAACCGCAUGGUUCGAUAGUGAAAGAUGGUUUUGCUAUCACUUAUAGAUGGACCCUCGCCGUAUUAGCUAGUUGGUAAGGUAACGGCUUACCAAGGCGACGAUACGUAGCCGACCUGAGAGGGUGAUCGGCCACACUGGAACUGAGACACGGUCCAGACUCCUACGGGAGGCAGCAGUG
rnacentral:rRNA from 1 species